AGCGAACGCUGGCGGCAGGCUUAACACAUGCAAGUCGAGCGGGCAUCCUUGUGGUGUCAGCGGCAGACGGGUGAGUAACGCGUGGGAACGUGCCCUUCGGUUCGGAAUAACUCAGGGAAACUUGAGCUAAUACCGGAUACGUGCGAGAGCAGAAAGGUUUAUCUGCCGAAGGAUCGGCCCGCGUCUGAUUAGCUAGUUGGUGAGGUUAUGGCUCACCAAGGCGACGAUCAGUAGCUGGUCUGAGAGGAUGAUCAGCCACACUGGGGCUGAGACACGGCCCAGACUCCUACGGGAGGCAGCAGUGGGGAAUAUUGGACAAUGGGGGCAACCCUGAUCCAGCCAUGCCGCGUGAGUGAUGACGGCCUUAGGGUUGUAAAGCUCUUUUCUUCGGGACGAUAAUGACGGUACCGGAGGAAUAAGCCCCGGCUAACUUCGUG
rnacentral:rRNA from 1 species